GACGAACGCUGGCGGCGUGCUUAACACAUGCAAGUCGAACGAAGUGGCGAACGGGUGAGUAACGCGUAAUCAACCUGCCCUUCAGAGGGGGACAACAGUUGGAAACGACUGCUAAUACCGCAUACUGAAGGAGGGGAUUGCGUCGGAUUCGCUAGUUGGGGGGGUAACGGCCCACAAAGGGGAUGAUCAGGAGCCGGGCUGGGAGGAGGAACGGCCACAUUGGGACUGGGACACGGCCCAGACUCCUACGGGAGGCAGCAGUGGGGAAACAUCCGAAAUGGACGAAAGUCUGACGGAGCAACGCCGCGUGAGUGAUGACGGCCUUCGGGUUGUAAAGCGCUGUUAAUCGGGACGCGGUACCGGAAUAGAAAGCCACGGCUAACUACGUGCCAGCAGCCGCGGUAAUUC
rnacentral:rRNA from 1 species